rnacentral:rRNA from 1 species
UACGGAGGGUGCAAGCGUUAAUCGGAAUUACUGGGCGUAAAGCGCACGCAGGUGGCUGUGAAAGUCGAUUGUGAAAGCCCUGGGCUUAACCUGGGAAUUGCAGUCGAAACUACUCGGCUAGAGUAUGGGAGAGGGUAGUGGAAUUCCUGGUGUAGCGGUGAAAUGCGCAGAUAUCAGGAGGAACACCGGUGGCGAAGGCGGGUCUCUGGGCCGAAACUGACGCUGAGGAGCGAAAGCGUGGGGAGCGAACAGG